rnacentral:rRNA from 1 species
CCUACGGGAGGCAGCAGUGAGGAAUAGUGGUCAAUGGCCGGAAGGCUGAACCAGCCAUGCCGCGUGAAGGUCAGUGCCCUAUGGGCGUUAAACUUCUUGUGUGCGGGAGCAAUAAUGGUCACGUGGGGCCAGACGAGAGUACCGUACGAAUAAGCAUCGGCUAACUCCGUGCCAGCAGCCGCGGUAAGACGGGGGAUGCAAGCGUUAGCCGGAUUUCUGGGGUUUAAAGGGUGCGUAGGCGGUGAGGUAAGUCAGCGGGGAACUGCCCCCGCUCAACGGGGUGAAGUGCCAUUGAUACGUCCUUGCUGGACUGCGGCUGCCGUGGGCGGAAUGUGUGGUGUAGCGGUGAAAUGCAUAGCUAUCACCC